rnacentral:ncRNA from 1 species
AAAGUCCCUGGCAGCAGAAGAUCUAGCGAAUCACGCUGUCCCCGAGUCAUGCGUUGUGAGUCGCGAGGCGCGCAACGAAGCGUUGACAGGGGUGCGUAUAGGCCAGCCAUUGAGCCGCGAAAAAUUUAUCCAGUCCCGAGUGUCAACGCCAAUCGAAAUUUGCACGUUUGGGGCGGCCGAAACUUGCAAAGAGCCAAGCCAAUGUUCC